rnacentral:rRNA from 1 species
CCUACGGGAGGCAGCAGUGAGGAAUAUUGGUCAAUGGCCGGAAGGCUGAACCAGCCAAGCCGCGUGAAGGACGACGGUGCCAAGCAUUGUAAACUUCUUUUGUCAAGGGACAAAAUCAGGCUCGAGCGCCUGACCGAGGGUACUUGAAGAAAAAGCAUCGGCUAACUCCGUGCCAGCAGCCGCGGUAAUACGGAGGAUGCGAGCGUUAUCCGGAUUUAUUGGGGUUAAAGGGUGCGUAGGCGGACUGUUAAGUCAGCGGUAAAAGCCCGGGGCUAAACCCCGGCGCGCCGUUGAAACUGGUGGUCUUGAGAUGUCGAGAGGUAUGCGGAAUGCACGGUGUAGCGGUGAAAUGCUUAGAGAUUGCGCAGAACACCGAUUGCGAAGGCAGCAUACCGGCGGCGAUCUGACGCUGAGGCACGAAAGCGUGGGUAUCGAACAGGAUUAGAUACCCUUGUAGUC